UACGGAGGGUGCGAGCGUUGUCCGGAAUCACUGGGCGUAAAGGGCGCGUAGGCGGUCUGCUAAGCGUGUGGUGAAAGCUCGGGGCUCAACCCCGAGUCUGCCAUGCGAACUGGUGGACUUGAGCACUGUAGAGGCAGGUGGAAUUCCGGGUGUAGCGGUGGAAUGCGUAGAGAUCCGGAAGAACACCAGUGGCGAAGGCGGCCUGCUGGGCAGUUGCUGACGCUGGAGGCGCGACAGCGU
rnacentral:rRNA from 1 species